UUGGAUGAUUGAAGGGAGUUGCUCCUAGUACGAGAGGACCGGAGUGAACGAACCUCUGGUGUUCGGGUUGUCACGCCAGUGGCACUGCCCGGUAGCUAAGUUCGGAAUCGAUAACCGCUGAAAGCAUCUAAGCGGGAAGCGAGCCCUGAGAUGAGUCAUCCCUGACCCCUUGAGGGUCCUAAAGGGCCGUUGGAGACCACAACGUUGAUAGGCGGGGUGUGUAAGUGCAGCGAUGCAUUGAGCUAACCCGUACUAAUUACCCGUGAGGCUUAACCAUACAACACCCAAGAAGUGUUCU
rnacentral:rRNA from 1 species